rnacentral:rRNA from 1 species
AUUGAACGCUGGCGGCAUGCCUUACACAUGCAAGUCGAACGGUAACAGGUCUUCGGAUGCUGACGAGUGGCGAACGGGUGAGUAAUACAUCGGAACGUGCCUAGUAGUGGGGGAUAACUACUCGAAAGAGUGGCUAAUACCGCAUGAGAUCUACGGAUGAAAGCAGGGGAUCGCAAGACCUUGUGCUACUAGAGCGGCCGAUGGCAGAUUAGGUAGUUGGUGGGAUAAAAGCUUACCAAGCCGACGAUCUGUAGCUGGUCUGAGAGGACGAUAAGCCAACCUUGAACUGAGACACGGCCCAGACGCCUCCGGGAGGGAGCAGUGGGGAAUUGUUGACAAUGGGGGCAAGCCUGAUCCAGCAAUGCCGCGUGCAGGAUGAAGGCCUUCGGGUUGUAAACUGCUUUUGUACGGAACGAAAAGCCCUGGGUUAAUACCCUGGUGUCAUGACGGUACCGUAAGAAUAAGCACCGGCUAACUACGUGCCAGCAGCCGCGGUAACAC